GCCGAGGAAUGAUGACAUAAAAGGCCGAAUUACAGUGCCCCCCUGAGCAGUGAUUUCUCUGUGGGGGGGCAUAAUGACAAAAACCCCUGAAGCGAAAUCUAACUGACCUCGGC